rnacentral:rRNA from 1 species
AGAGUUUGAUCCUGGCUCAGGACGAACGCUGGCGGCGUGCUUAACACAUGCAAGUCGAACGGGGCUAUUUGAUUUCGAUUGGGUAGCCUAGUGGCGAACGGGUGAGUAACGCGUGAAUGACCUGACCUUGAGAGGGGGAUAACAACGAGAAAUCGUUGCUAAUACCGCAUAGGACCACACUGCCGCAUGGCAGAGAGGUGAAAGGAGAAAUCCGCUAAAGGAGGGGUUCGCGUCCCAUUAGGUAGUAGGCGGGGUAAAGGCCCACCUAGCCGACGAUGGGUAGCCGAGCUGAGAGGCUGAACGGCCACACUGGAACUGAGACACGGUCCAGACUCCUACGGGAGGCAGCAGUGGGGAAUAUUGGGCAAUGGGCGAAAGCCUGACCCAGCAACGCCGCGUGAGGGAAGAAGGUCUUCGGAUUGUAAACCUCUGUCCUUGGAGACGAAGGAAGUGACGGUAACCAAGGAGGAAGCCCCGGCUAACUACGUGCCAGCAGCCGCGGUAAUACGUAGGGGGCGAGCGUUGUCCGGAAUUACUGGGCGUAAAGGGUGCGUAGGCGGCAAUUUAAGUUGGAUGUGAAAUACCCGGGCUUAACCUGGGGGGUGCAUUCAAAACUGGAUAGCUAGAGUACAGGAGAGGGAAGCGGAAUUCCUAGUGUAGCGGUGAAAUGCGUAGAUAUUAGGAGGAACACCGGUGGCGAAGGCGGCUUUCUGGACUGAAACUGACGCUGAGGCACGAAAGCGUGGGGAGCAAACAGGAUUAGAUACCCUGGUAGUCCACGCUGUAAACGAUGAAUACUAGGUGUAGGGGGUAUAGACUCCCUCUGUGCCGGAGCAAACGCAAUAAGUAUUCCGCCUGGGGAGUACGGCCGCAAGGUUGAAACUCAAAGGAAUUGACGGGGGCCCGCACAAGCAGCGGAGCAUGUGGUUUAAUUCGACGCAACGCGAAGAACCUUACCAAGGCUUGACAUCCUACUAAAGUCAUGGAAACAUGAUGUCCCUUAGGGGAAGUAGAGACAGGUGGUGCAUGGUUGUCGUCAGCUCGUGUCGUGAGAUGUUGGGUUAAGU